GGAACACAUUUUCUUGGUGCCUUUAGAGUGUCAUGUCUUUGAUGGUAAGCAUGGUAAUGUCUCUGACCCAAAACAACAUAGUAAUGAACAAUAUAAAGUCCAGGUUCAGGCUAGACAGAGCUAAUAACUUAGCAACUAUUAGUCCAUAUCCUUUCCCCCUAUCUUCCUCAUAACUUCUAGAAUGAACUUUUAAUUGUAGAAAUGAGGCAUCAUAUAAUAUAGUUGCCCUCCUCUCUUUCCUUGUGUCCUGAGUGAGAUUCUUUCUAGGGCAUGAUGUAUGUGAGAUUCAACCGUAAGAGACUAAAAGGUUGCAUUGGAGAAGAAGAUUGUCGUAUGGCUUUCUCUACUCUUUGUAAUGCAUGUUGUAAUAGGUCCAAUUUGCCCGGGCCCAAAACUAAAUAAAUAAAACCCAAAAUAAAAAAAAUAAACAUUCCAUAGUCCAAAAAAAUUUACAAGCUCAAAUGCCCAAUAAUAAUAAAAAACCUUAGAGGUCCGAUUAGUCCACAACUUAAACAUUUCAGCAAAAAACCCUAACUCCCUUAACCCUAGGCGCGUCGCACCUAGGUCCACUCUUGGCCGCCGCACGCCAGCCACCUCC
rnacentral:lncRNA from 1 species